rnacentral:rRNA from 1 species
CUACGGGAGGCAGCAGUGGGGAAUAUUGCACAAUGGGGGGAACCCUGAUGCAGCAACGCCGCGUGAGCGAUGAAGGUCUUCGGAUUGUAAAGCUCUGUCUUCGCUGACGAUAAUGACGGUAAGCGAGGAGGAAGCCACGGCUAACUACGUGCCAGCAGCCGCGGUAAUA